CACGUAGGGCGCAAGCGUUGUCCGGAAUUAUUGGGCGUAAAGAGCUCGUAGGUGGUUUGCUGCGUCCGCUGUGAAAACCCAAGGCUUAACCUUGGGCUUGCAGUGGAUACGGGCAGACUAGAGGUAGGGAGGGGAGGAAGUGGAAUUCCCGGUGUAGCGGUGAAAUGCGCAGAUAUCGGGAGGAACACCGGUGGCGAAGGCGGUUCUCUGGGCCUUACCUGACACUGAGGAGCGAAAGCGUGGGGAGCGAACAGG
rnacentral:rRNA from 1 species